rnacentral:rRNA from 1 species
ACGAACGCUGGCGGCGUGCUUAACACAUGCAAGUCGAACGGUAAGGCCCCUUCGGGGGUACACGAGUGGCGAACGGGUGAGUAACACGUGAGCAACCUGCCCUUGACUCUGGAAUAACAGUUGGAAACAGCUGCUAAUACUGGAUAUUCAUCGUCUCCUUCCUGGGGGGUGGUGGAAAGCUCCGGCGGUCAGGGAUGGGCUCGCGGCCUAUCAGCUUGUUGGUGAGGUAAUGGCUCACCAAGGCUUCGACGGGUAGCCGGCCUGAGAGGGCGACCGGCCACACUGGGACUGAGAUACGGCCCAGACUCCUACGGGAGGCAGCAGUGGGGAAUAUUGCACAAUGGGCGCAAGCCUGAUGCAGCAACGCCGCGUGCGGGAUGACGGCCUUCGGGUUGUAGACCGCUUUCAGUAGGGACGAAGGGUGACUGACGGUACCUACAGAAGAAGGACCGGCUAACUACGUG